UCUACAGGUGUUGCAUGGCUGUCGUCAGCUCGUGUCGUGAGAUGUCGGUUAAGUCCGCUAACGAGCGCAACCCUCGCUGUGUGUUACAAGUGUCACACGGUACUGCCGAUAUUAAGUCGGAGGAAGUGGGGAUGACGUCAAGUCAGCAUGACCUUUAUAUCCAGGGCUACACACACGCUACAAUGGCCAGUACAAUGGGUUGCCAAGCCGCGAGGCGGAGCCAAUCCUAAAAAGCUGGCCUCAGUUCAGAUUGCAGUCUGCAACUCGACUGCAUGAAGUUGGAGUUGCUAGUAACCGCAGGUCAGCAAUACUGCGGUGAAUACGUUCCCGGGGAUU
rnacentral:rRNA from 1 species